GAUGAACGCUGGCGGCGUGCCUAAUACAUGCAAGUCGAGCGAACAGACGAGGAGCUUGCUCCUCUGACGUUAGCGGCGGACGGGUGAGUAACACGUGGAUAACCUACCUAUAAGACUGGGAUAACUUCGGGAAACCGGAGCUAAUACCGGAUAAUAUAUUGAACCGCAUGGUUCAAUAGUGAAAGACGGUUUUGCUGUCACUUAUAGAUGGAUCCGCGCCGCAUUAGCUAGUUGGUAAGGUAACGGCUUACCAAGGCGACGAUGCGUAGCCGACCUGAGAGGGUGAUCGGCCACACUGGAACUGAGACACGGUCCAGACUCCUACGGGAGGCAGCAGUGGGGAAUAUUGCACAAUGGGCGGAAGCCUGAUGCAGCAACGCCGCGUGCGGGAUGACGGCCUUCGGGUUGUAAACCGCUUUCGCCUGUGACGAAGCGUGAGUGACGGUAAUGGGUAAAGAAGCACCGGCUAACUACGUG
rnacentral:rRNA from 1 species